GACGAACGCUGGCGGCGUGCUUAACACAUGCAAGUCGAACGGAAAGGCCCUGCUUUUGUGGGGUGCUCGAGUGGCGAACGGGUGAGUAACACGUGAGUAACCUGCCCUUGACUUUUGUAUAACUUCAGGAAACUGGGGCUAAUACCGGAUAGGAGCUCCUGCUUCAUGGUGGGGGUUGGAAAGUUUCGGCGGUUGGGGAUGGACUCGCGGCUUAUCAGCUUGUUGGUGGGGUAGUGGCUUACCAAGGCUUUGACGGGUAGCCGGCCUGAGAGGGUGACCGGCAACAUUGGGACUGAGAUACGGCCCAGACUCCUACGGGAGGCAGCAGUGGGGAAUAUUGCACAAUGGGCGGAAGCCUGAUGCAGCAACGCCGCGUGCGGGAUGACGGCCUUCGGGUUGUAAACCGCUUUCGCCUGUGACGAAGCGUGAGUGACGGUAAUGGGUAAAGAAGCACCGGCUAACUACGUG
rnacentral:rRNA from 1 species